rnacentral:lncRNA from 1 species
UGUAUAUCAAUUAAUUAUUAUAAUUUCAUGCAUAAUUACUCCUAGGAUUAUUAUGAUGAUUAUUAAAAAUGGUUUAAGUCGGCAAAUCUGACAAUUUAAAAGCUAUAAUGAUGAUUCAUCUACAGCUAGAUCAAGUGGAAAUACGAAAAUUGAAAUGAUUAAUGUAUCUCAAGCUCGAAGCAUCAUUGAAAUUACUCCAUUUUACAAUUUUUAGAUGCA